AUGGCAGGCACCUAGUGCACCAAGGUCUCCUGCUCCAGCAUGGUGUCCAUCCCGCAACUCAUUUGUACCCACAAAUGCCCAGCAGCACGGAGGAAGAGGGGCCACUGGUAAUAGAGACAAAGGCAACUUUAGAAAGAAAAAGAAAAGAUUGUUCUCAGCGCCCUCCCAUGGGGCUCCUUAAUCAGAGUUGGCCACUUUCUCCCACGUGUGCUGUUGUUGGGUAAUUAGUGCCCCAAGCAGAGCCAAGUUCAGGGCACAGUGAGUGCCUUUGUUUUAGUCUUGUAAAUUUCAACAUAGGUUGGAAGGAACAAAACCCCAAUUCAUUUGAGAGAUGCUCCAAAUCUGAUUCUAUGCACUGAGCCAAGGGAGAGACACUGCCUGACAGUCCCAGGAGUGGAUGAUGAACUGGGCAGCUCAGGCAGUUGAAUGACCUUGAGGAUGCUAAGAGAUAUGGAAGGGUAAACUUUUGACUAUGAUUGGCAGAAGCUAGCCAGUGUCAGUGCCCUGGUGAUGUGGUCUGUCCAGGGAAAUGCCCUAGAAAGCCUAUUCUAGAGUAGACCCAACGGCAGUGCUUUUUUUUGUUCCCUUCCACUCUUCUUAGCCUGAUAUCUUCCAAUUUGAAUGCUUUGAGAGCCACUGAAUUAAAUUUUGCAAACACUGCAGGUCUAUUUCUGAUGUCAAUCAUGGGAGUUGUAGAGCCGAGACUUGAUGGAUGUGCAGGAAUUUGCAAGGUGAAGGAGUUGGGCAGCAAAAGAGAGUUCUAGUAAAGAGAGCAGCAUAUGAGAAAUUCAGAAGUUUGAGACAUAUCAGGUGGCACAUAUGAGGCACAUAUGGGGAUAAGGUGGCAUAUAUGAAGAUGGCAUUCUCCAUCCCCAUGGAUGGAGUGAUCCAGUCUGACUGGAUCACAGAUUGCAAGAGGAGAGAAGAGGAGAGGAGAAAUCGCCCUCAGUUGAUGUUGUUGGCUGGUUUUCAAGUUGGGAGCUUCUGCUGAAGAUGAAGCUGAACCACUGGGGUCCACAGAUUCCUGGGGUGCCUGACAAGCUGGACAAUGUCUAGAAGCAACCCACUCUCUUUUUUCUCUGGAAAUGGUCGUGCAUCAAUGGAGGAGGGCCAGACUGGCUGCAAUUUUCUUGCUAUCCAGCUAGGAUGAAAGGAGGACAGGCCAGAGAAUGACUGAGAAAUCUAUGCAGAGCCUCUGAAUUAAGCCAACUCCAAAAACUGCCGUUCCUUUGGGACUUCCAGUUGUGUAUUGGCCCUGUGCUGACUGCUGGAGAUCAAUGGUGAGCAAAACAGACAUGAUCCCUGUCGUAAUGAAGCUUAAAGAUAUAGUCAGAUAAGGCUGAAAUAAAUACACAUCACAGUCAUGGUCCGUGACUAUGAAAUCUUGGCUUCCGGUGCAGAUCUGGUCAGUGGCAGAGAAGGCAGAGCAGCCCGAGGGCAGCAGUCCUGUGCCUGCUCAGAGAGCUACGUUCCAAGUACAUCAGUGGCCUCUUUGAUAACUCUGAAGAUUCUGAUUAUCUCCUGUACCCACCAUCACCCUAACCUCCAACGACUCAGCCUAUGCCCAACGCACCAUCAUCACCACCACCACCUCUCAGCCUUCCGGUGUGUUCGUUGUCAUCCCGAUUCUGCACUUCCCUGGCUAUUGCAUCAAGGAAUAGUCUGUCAUAGGAUUUGCUCAUGUCCCGACGUUCUCUCCAGGAAAAGUCAUCGCCAUCCCCAAACUCAUCAGCUGUUCCCUCGCCGUGAAGAAUAAGCUCCCCGUGGAGAGCGAAGAGCACUUCUGGAGUGGAUGCUAAACAAAGGAACAUCUCAAGCAUUAUGUUAAAAGGUAUUAUACAUUAGAAGGAGAGAAGUUUUAUUUUAAGCAGAAAUUCUACAAUGUGUAGGCACUUGAUUCUUUAUGAAAAGCCAGAGCAGCUGAAAAGGAAAAAAUCCCACUAAGAAAAACUCUGAUUGGCUCUAGAGAUUCAUGCCACAGAUCAUUUCUCUAUGGUAUUUGUGAUACGUAUAAGAAAAAGGGAAAUAGGAAUUGCCCAAGCUUGAAGCUUUGGCUUGUUUUAUGAUUCCUGAUUGGAAAACUGUGGUUGCUUAGCUGUAUUACUCGGACCAAGUACCCAAGCCUUAGUGUGAACACUUGCAUAACGUGUGAGAUUAAAUGAAAGACUCCCUGUGAAUGUUCCUAAUGCACCUGGUGCAUUCUAGGCACUCCAAAAAUGUUUGUUGAAUGAAUGAAUGAAUAGAUGGAUGAAUAGAUGAUUCAUGUUGUUUAGGUAAAACCCUGUUUAUGUUUUAAGGCUAAUUUUAAUUUCCACUUUCUCCAAGAAGCCCUUUCCAUUUUCCCUGCCACCCUUGCUAGAUUUGGUGUGAAGCCCAUUGCCACAUUGCAUCUGUAGUGAUGAGGGUGACUCUUCAUUCAGUGUGUAUGCCAGCCACCGUGCCAUGUGCUCUUAGUAUAUUCCAGUCCUCACAAAAAGACAUGAAAAAUUCUUCCUGUUUUAUAGGCAAAGAAACAGGCCCAGGGAGUUUAUGUUUCUUACUCAAGGCUAGCAAUUGGUAGGUCCAGUGUCCCCAAGUUCAGCUCUAGAUGAUUCCCAAAAAUCAAGGUAACCUUGGAGCUUUUGCGUGGCCUUAUAGGGACUGCAUGCACACUAGACUGCAAACUCCUGGAGGUCAGGUACUGUGCAGCCAUCUGCAUGUCCUUGGGUGCUCCUUACCCAGUCCUCUGAGCAGACCCAAUAGAGAGGAAGCAGGGCCCUUGGGACAUGGGAGGUUAUCUUUUGGUCUGUAUAUGUAGUUUAAGCUUGUGAUUUGGGGAAGGCAACUUUCCCAUUUUAGUCUCAAGUAGAACCCACACUUCCUGUGCUCCAUGCAACAGACAUAAAGCCCAGGGGGGCGUUUGGGUUCCAACUUGUCCUAUUGAGGAGAUUUUCCAUGCUGGAAUUUCUCACUUUUGCCAUCCUCCCAUAGGAUAAAUAGCAUACUUGAAGGAGAGGGGGCUGGCCAAUGAGGCGUUCAAAGGAAUCUUGGAAAUCCUUGACCCCUUGUCUCCUGGUUAAAACUUGAUUAGAAUGUGGAAAAUCUUACUUUCACUCUGAAAAAGAAAAAUAACAGAGGGCGUGCUAAGGCUCAUGAACUUUGUUUUUUUUGUUUGUUUGUUUACAAGAAAUCUUUGCUGCAUCCAUUUUCCUCAUUGUAUUGUUAUCAUUCCUCAAUGCAUUUCCUCACUCCAGUUCGUAAGGAGAACUUGACCACUAGUACUGCUUCCUUAAUUGCUUCUGUUCUGCCUUUGCCCACUACGUCUCUCUCAAAACUACUCUGUUAAAGACCCUGACUCAAUUUCCAACCUGUUCUUUCUUGAAACUCCGUCCUCUCUUUUCUUCGGUGAUACUUCUGGUUCUCCCUCUGCUUCUCUGCUCUUCUAAGCCAAGCUGCUUGUCCUCUAAGAGAUGGACUUCUCCAGAAUCACUGCCUCAGUGCCCUGGCCACCCUUCUCUCCUAGGCUCAUCUCAUACAUGCCCAUGGUGCUUAGCUCUAUUACAUUGGUUCCCCCAAACGUAUUCCCACCUGCUUGCUUGAGUUCUAGGCCUGUAUCUCCAGGCUCUUUCACCUAGCUGGACCCUUUCAGUUGACACAUGAAACUCAGUGCCCCAAUUAACUCAUAGUCUUCACUCAUCAGAUCUUCUUGUUUGUCUGUGUCCUUUAGUUCUGUGAGUGGAACAACUCUACUAUUUCCGAAAGCUGAUUACCGAGUUAGACCAUGACUCAAAUAGUUAUCUAUAGGUCAGCUGUCUGAAAAUGUGCAUCCUUGCUGGA